GUGCUCGCUUCGGCAGCACAUGUACUAACAUGAAAAGGAUGCAGAGCAGACUAGCAUGGCCCCUGCACACGGAUGACAUGCAAAUUCAUGAAGCAUUCCAUAUAAAG